rnacentral:lncRNA from 1 species
GCCCUGCUCAGCCCCGGAAUGCGUCCUCUCUGCCCCAUUACCCGCCACACUCCUCUCCGCUCAGCCCCCGCCUGGCCUCUCCUCCGAGAGGAGGCCCGGUUUACGCGCCCCCGGGGAGUUGGCCAGUUUUGGAGGUGACCUGAGCAAGGUCGCCCCGCGGCAGACGGAGGCUCCGCGUGCGGACCUGGGGACGCCUGAGCCAGGAGGGGGCAAAGAAAAGAAAAGUCGCGACUGCAGACCUUCCUGCCCCGCCCCGAGGGCCCCUAAGGAAAGGGUUCCGGAAGGAGGCUCCAGGAUCCCGGGGCUUGCGGCUGAGACCCCCCUAGGCUGCGGAGGAGUGGCUUCCCCCACUGGCUACAGACUGCUAGACUGAGGCCGGCAUUGGAGUUGAAAACGGUCGGUUUGGGUCUUCGUGGGGCCAUCUGUCGUCUGAGCGUCCCUGAAAGAGGACGAAUCCCUCUUGGCCGGGGCCCCACCGGUGCGCCUCCGCGGGCGGCCACCGCGGGGCUAGCGGGUUCCGCCCGUCCACGCCCAGCAACGCGACAGGAAGGUCUAAUGCAAACUAUGGGAGUGGUGGAGUUGCUGCGAUGAGAAACUCUUGGGGUAAAAUAGUGAGCCCUAAAUGUGGUCGCCGGGGUGAUCGGAAGGAAGUGGAGAGGGAGGGGCGAGAGGAUGAGGCUGGCAGUAGGCUUCCCACCUGACUCCGCGGGGGCCCUGGCCCGUCGCAUUCCUGGCCCGUUGCCCGCCAGCCCCUGCUUCCAGCUAGGCUCAUUUUCCCGCUUCCAGCCCUCCCGCAGCUAGGAAGAGAGCCCGCUGAUGGGGGAGCGGGUGGGUCCCUUGAUUUCUGUGUUUACGUUUCAUUAACUUAAUUUAUAGUUGCAUGCUUUUCUGGUUAUAAAAUUAAUACAUGGCUUUCAUAGACAAUUUGGAGAAUACAGAAAUCCGUUUCUAAGGUGAAAACCCCUUCAAUCCCAUUUCCCAGAGGUGCCCCAUAGUGUCCAGGCGCCUGCAGCCUCUUUCCUCUCCUGCCCCCACCCACGGGGGUAGUGCAGCCUUAGUCAAUAGGAAUUUUAAUAAUGGCUGGAUGGCAUCACCGACUGGAUGGACAUGAGUCUGAGUGAACUCCGGGAGUUGGUGGUGGACAGGGAGGCCUGGUGUGAUGCUAUUCAUGGGGUCACAAAGAGUCGGACACGACUGAGCAACUGAACUGAACUGAAGGGAUUAUAUCUCCCUGGUACCCAUCCAGCACUUAGCCCAGGGUCGGCUGGCUGGCCUGUCAGCCAGGCCGGCCUCCCACCCACGUGAUUCCUAGGGUCACUCCCUGUGGGAGUGCCACACCCAGAUCUAGGCAAAUGUUCCUUCCCUGCUUGCCC